CAGAAAAAUAAAAAGGCCAACAAAUUAAAUCGCUUUCCCCUUUCCCCACGAGGGGAGAAAACAAAAGCUAAUUAUGGCAGAAGGUGUGAAGGUAUAUAUAUACAACAGCAGACAUCUUUUUUUUUUGGUGUUACAGUACCAUUGAAUCACAUCGACAGACUCGUAGCAUUCGUUCACACACCGUCCAAGAGGUCAAAGGGAGAAACGAAAGAAGGGGUUUCUGUUGAUGUACAGAGAAGGUUCUAGAAGUCAUCUAAGGCACAAGAGUCUCCCCGGGGAACAGCGGGAGCAUCAGUUAAGAUACGUUUGUGCAACAAUUGCUCAACAAUACAUUCCAGCAAAACGACAACAAUCGGCGAGGUGUCUUCUCUGAGGAGGACAGUGAUCUGCGGUCACACUCGUCCCCAACACUGAAACAGGUUACGUUGUCCGAUCAAUAAACACCAAUCAAUAAACUCACUCCUCCUGCCUUCGGUAUUGGCGAAACUCUUCCAAUCCAAUGUCAUUAUCAUUUAGAUGUGUCUCUCUCUCUCUUAGUCUUCUUAUAUACAAUACAUUUUAAACAUUUUUUUUAAUACAAAAUAUCUAUGUACAUUGUUAAUAAUUGUUACAAAAUAGGACUUUUACAUUGAGUAACACUUUCAACCAGAAAUAUGUCAUUGAACUGUGAAAUCGCAGUUCAAAGUGUACAUUUUAAACCAUGAUGAACUCGAACCCAAGCCAACAACCGUCAACACUUAAGGGCACACUUUAAACUGAAGCCUUAUCGCCAGAAAACAGACCAGAUCUCAAGGUGAAAAAGUGACACCCAUCAUGGCAUAACACAUCCGAAAGAGAGCGGCAAGGUGAACUUGAACAAUAAUUGACAGUUUAUAAUUCAUAAUUAGACCCUGAAAAAAACCAACGCUUGAUUGCGACUCAUGUGGCGACUAAACAACGUUGACACCGCAUAUGGAGCCGUUAGCGUCCUUCACGCAAGAGUUCAACCCGCCCGGGGAUGAGCAUGGCUCCAGGAUGUUCGCGCUGCGCUACUAUCAAUAACGCCGGAUGGGAACGGGGCGGAUGGAAACCUGAUGAGGUCGUUUUAAUGGCGGUAAUUAGGACAGCAUGGCCGACACCAUGUGUCGUUAAUUAUUCUAUGAGUUAUAGAUACGAGCCCCUAUGUGUUUUAGAGUUACCAGCGGGUCGUACCAUUAACGGGUCGAUGGGGGGGGAUAUCACAACAGCAAACAUUGCGUUUUGCUGUGGAUGUUCUGGACCGGACCAUGUCCUGCUCUCCCUUCUGUGGGACACGUCUCUGUAUUGUCUUCUGUUGUUUGGAGGCUGCUAGAUGGCUGACCUUUGACCCCUGAGCGUUGAGGUCAGGGCGGCGUCUGCGUGUGAUUGGCCGGUCAAACAGCAGGGUUGGAAUCCAGGAGGGAGGGGGGGGGGCUUGGCCUUUGUAAAUUAAGGCAGCUUCCUUUACAAAAAGUAAUUCUCAUGCUGCACAGGCAGCGCGGUAAAUGUUUAGUCAUUGACUAAAGUACUCAUAUAUAUAUAUAUAUUCAUUAAAACUUAGAAAAUAAAUAGUGACGCGUGGACUCAUCUCAUCCGUGUGUAUUUGUAGCGCGGCGACCGAAACAAACAAGGCAAACGACAGAACGAAACGAUUAUCAUGAGAUGAUUGUGUUUCAAGUUUGAGGCAGGUAAUUAACUAACUCAAUAAUUAAUUCAAGCUGGAUGAAUUAUUAAUUAACGUCAUCUGUUACAUCAGCUGGGCUUGUGUGAUGGAAAAUAAACCUUCCAGUCUAAGUUCAUCGUAUAUCUAUAAAUAUUGGAUCUACAACACCAACCAUAAAUGAUCAUAUUUGGGCUGAGAACAUAAUAAUGCCUACAUUGCUUGUAAACUAGUAAAGUAGUUUAGAAGCAAGACACUCUCCAGUCUGCAGAAUGUCGGUCUGGCUGAAUCGUACGUGAUCCGGCUCUGACCUGGUCUUGACCUGCCGCAGCAAGGGAAUUAUUUGACAAACUUUGUGCAAAAGUUUCAUAAUAGAGCUGGCAAGUCACGGCAAAAAUAAAUACCUCCAAUUUGAAGUUUUCCCAAUGCUAUUAUUCUCAUAAAAGCACUUACAUCUCUCAAACAUUUGCGAUUGGUGCAUCGUUUUCCUCAUCGUUGUGAAAUGGUGAUUGAUGUCACACGACGGACAGGUUUCCGGCCGCGAUAAGGGGCUCGCUGUGGGCGAACGUCGUGAUCGACUAAAGCGUUCCAGUGACGACAGAACAGAUGUGAGUUGAGGCACAUUAAUGAAUCAGUAGCAGGACGAGAUCCUCGCACCUAAGCCUCCCACCGAAGGCGUUUCAGAAGCCUACAUCAGCUUCCAUCGUCUAUCUCAUGCCAAGAAGAACCCCC
ensembl:lncRNA